AUUUUUAUAUAACUCCACCGAAAGAAAAUUACUUUUAAAACAAAAAACAUGAACGAGAAAUAGAUCACUGCUAUUUAAAAAAAAAUCAACACAAUAAUGAAGCAAGGUUCUCUCAACGUACUGUAUCUCACACAUCAUCUUUUUAGAUUCAUAUUAGAGUGACAUGUGAUUAACCGAAAAAACUUGAAAGACUAAUGAAAACAUUUCGCUUGUCCACAUCAUAAUACACAAGUCUUAUCUCCGGAAGAGUAUUCUCGUCUAUAUCUUCUUCUUCCUGGCCGAAUCGAAAAUCUUUUCUAAGAGGCAAAGCUACGAUUCCAUCACAUAUUGAACUGAGUUUCGAUAGUUUUUUGUAGGGUUCGAACUUGAAGCUGCACCUGAUCAUAAGUCGGAUUUAAUGGGGAACUACGAGGCAAAGCUAAAGAUAACUAGGGUUCAAUCUGAGAAACGGAAAAUAUAAAACACUAAGCAGAGUUGUGUAUUACUGUCUCAGCAAGUGUAUCCAGCUACAAAUAUCUCUCCUCUAUGGUUAUCAUGAAGUAACACUUUCCUCAAGUUUCUAGCCC
rnacentral:lncRNA from 1 species